GGACUACUGGUCCCAGUGGGGCAUAGCCUAGGCCUGCUCUGGGGUUAAAGCAGGAGCUGGAUUGAGGUAAGUUUGCACCUAGGGAUGAUCCAUGGCAGCUUUCUAAACUCAGUCUGGAGGAGAAAAAGGAGAGAAUGGAUGAAUAUAAGCAAAGAGCUGUCAUUAGCCAGCAAGACCCAGUAACCACAGAGCAAACAAAAAUUGCCGCUUUGGAGACACCAGCAAGCACUUUCUGAAGUUACGGGCUUUAGCUGCUGCAGAAACUUCAUUUGGAACCAGCAAUUAAAACCAGGAGAAGAUGAGUGAGGAGCAGCAUAUCAAGAUACGCCAGAUUUUUAUUUGCCAUCCAUCUCCUUUUGUCCCUGAUUUUCUGAAAAAAAUAAAUCUCCCUCUCCUUUGCCUGCCAGAGGUCCCAAAAUGUACUAAACACGAGACAGCCAUGUCCACACCCUUGCACAGGUCCGGCGGUAGAGACAA